rnacentral:rRNA from 1 species
UACGGAGGGAGCUAGCGUUAUUCGGAAUUACUGGGCGUAAAGCGCACGUAGGCGGUUACUCAAGUCAGAGGUGAAAGCCUGGAGCUCAACUCCAGAACUGCCUUUGAAACUAGGUGACUUGAAUCCAGGAGAGGUGAGUGGAAUUCCGAGUGUAGAGGUGAAAUUCGUAGAUAUUCGGAAGAACACCAGUGGCGAAGGCGGCUCACUGGACUGGUAUUGACGCUGAGGUGCGAAGGCGUGGGGAGCAAACAGG